CCCUGGGAGUAAGGUCGCAAGAAUGAAUACAAAGGAAAUGAUGGGGGGCCGCCCAAGCGGGGGAGCAUGUGGGUUAAUUAGAAGCAACGUGAAGGACCAUACCAGGUCGGUACAUCCUUUGUCAAACAUAGAGAAAGAGCGUUCGCCUUCGUGGGGCAGAGUGACAGGUGGUGCAUGGUUGUCGUCAGCUAGGGUGGUGAGAUAUUUGGUUAAGUUCCGCAACGAGCGCAACCCUUGAUUUUAGUUGCCAGCCAUUAGUUGGGCACUCUAAGGAGACUGCCGGUGGCAAACCGGAGGGAGGGGGGGGGGGAGGCAAAUCAUCAUGCCCCUUAUGACCUGGGUUACACACGCGCUACAAACGAUGGUACAAAGGGAUGCAAGACCGCGAGGGCAAACCAAUCCCAUAAAAACAUUCUCAGUUCGGAUUGUAGGUUGCAACUAGCUUACAUGAAGCAGGAAUUGAUAGUAAUCGCGGAUCAGCAAGCCGCGGGGAAUAAGUUUCCGGGCCUUGUACACACCGCCCGUCCCUCCCCCAGAGUUUGUAACACCCGAAGUCGGUGGAGUAACCGUAAGGAGCUAGCCGCCCAAGGUGGGACAGACGAUAGUGGGAAGUCGAGUA
rnacentral:rRNA from 1 species